rnacentral:rRNA from 1 species
GACGAACGCUGGCGGCGCGCCUAACACAUGCAAGUCGAACGGAGCUUAGAGAGCUUGCUUUUUAAGCUUAGUGGCGAACGGGUGAGUAACGCGUGAGUAACCUGCCCUAGAGUGGGGGACAACAGUUGGAAACGACUGCUAAUACCGCAUAAGCCCACGGUACCGCAUGGUACUGAGGGAAAAGGAUUUAUUCGCUUUAGGAUGGACUCGCGUCCAAUUAGCUAGUUGGUGAGGUAACGGCCCACCAAGGCGAUGAUCAGUAGCCGGUCUGAGAGGAUGAACGGCCACAUUGGGACUGAGACACGGCCCAGACUCCUACGGGAGGCAGCAGUGGGGGAAUCUUCCGCAAUGGACGAAAGUCUGACGGAGCAACGCCGCGUGAGUGAUGACGGCC